rnacentral:misc_RNA from 1 species
UCCAACUUAUCGCUGGCGGUCUCCUGAGAGUGCUUCCUUACGGAGUGGCAACACAGGACAAGGGUUGCGCUCGUUGCGGGACUUAACCCAACAUCUCACGACACGAGCUGACGACAGCCGUGCAGCACCUGAACCACCAGUCCCUUGCGGGAAAGCUCCAUCUCUGGAGCGGUCCGAUGUUGUCUAGCCCAGGUAAGGUUCUUCGCGUUGCGUCGAAUUAAACCACAUGCUCCACCGCUUGUGCAGGCCCCCGUCAAUUCCUUUGAGUUUCGGUCUUGCGACCGUACUCCCCAGGCGGAGUGUUUCACGCGUUAGCUGGGCCCCUGAUCCACGUAGACCAAGGGCGAACACUCAUCGUUUACGGCAUGGACUAC